rnacentral:lncRNA from 1 species
AAAGAGACCUCCUAGAUACGUUCUCCUCUAAGCUCUAAGCACUAUCUUUAAACUCUGCUAAAAUCUCAUUCGACUGCUCCAUUUCUGUUGAAGCAGAGUACUGAUUUGAGUGUCGGAGGGUCUUAUCGGAGCACCCCCAACUCUGAUUUAGAUUUUUCUUAUAGGUCCCGACGGCGGUCGUGAUCCCCUCGACUCCAGCUUCUCCGGCAUCGAUGAAAUUCUGUACCAACACGUCGCUAAUAAUUAUUUUUAGUGAUAGAAAUAAUUUUGCAUCACUAAAAGUUUAC